rnacentral:lncRNA from 1 species
AUACUCAAAUUACCAGGGGAGGGAUAUAUAUGUUUUAGAUGUCUUCAACUCUCCCUUACCCUACUCCUUGACUGGAAAUGCUUUAUUUUACUAAGAGAUCUAUCCGAGCUCUAGAAGAUCUUACCCCAGGUGCUCACAAUUCUUCCCCGGCUGAUGCCUUAAUAUCAGAACUGGGAAGAAAAAAACAGCCUUCUCACUCCUAUCUUCAUAGGAAUCAACGGGAUAAUCUCAAAUUGCUCAAGUGGGCUGGAAGCACUCUCAAUACCGGUUUCGGGAGUAGAGGUGGAACUUUCACUAACUAGAUGGAGACGCGGAUUUCGAGCUAGAGGCGCUGGAAGCCCCCGAAGGUUUCCAAAAGGGGGACAUUCUGACGCCCUUCCACCCAAAACUGAACUCUAUACCAUAGCCUAACUCUUUUUUCCAGGCAAUGGGGUUUUUCACUAUAUCUAGGGAAUCCGCGCUUUCCACUCCGUAAGCAUUUCUUAAGGACGGUACAUCUCAUUCGACUCGUAGAAAGAAGAUUAUAUCUUUACCUAUAAGUAAGUAAUUAUUGACUGCAUUAUCCCUUCUCUUUCCCAUUGCUCUCACUCAUUUUUAGCAUACCAGCCAUUGAUCCUCUUCACUUCGCUUCUCGC